rnacentral:rRNA from 1 species
AGUGAACGCUGGCGGUAGGCCUAACACAUGCAAGUCGAACGGCAGCACAGUAAGAGCUUGCUCUUACGGGUGGCGAGUGGCGGACGGGUGAGGAAUACAUCGGAAUCUACUUUUUCGUGGGGGAUAACGUAGGGAAACUUACGCUAAUACCGCAUACGACCUACGGGUGAAAGCAGGGGAUCUUCGGACCUUGCGCGAUUGAAUGAGCCGAUGUCGGAUUAGCUAGUUGGCGGGGUAAAGGCCCACCAAGGCGACGAUCCGUAGCUGGUCUGAGAGGAUGAUCAGCCACACUGGAACGGAGACACGGCCCAGACUCCUACGGGAGGCAGCAGUGGGGAAUAUUGGACAAUGGGCGCAAGCCUGAUCCAGCCAUACCGCGUGGGUGAAGAAGGCCUUCGGGUUGUAAAGCCCUUUUGUUGGGAAAGAAAAGCAGCAGGUUAAUACCCCGCUGUUCUGACGGUACCCAAAGAAUAAGCACCGGCUAACUUCGUG